CCCUUAGAUGUUCUGGGCCGCACGCGCGCUACACUGAUUCAUGCAACAAGUUUUGUCCUUGGCUGAUAGGCCUGGGUAAUCUUUGAACGUGAAUCGUGAUGGGGAUAGAUGAUUGCAAUUAUUCAUCUUCAACGAGGAAUUCCUAGUAAACGCAAGUCAUCAGCUUGCAUUGAUUACGUCCCUGCCCUUUGUACACACCGCCCGUCGCACCUACCGAUUGAAUGGUCCGGUGAAAUCUUCGGAUCUGAGAGAUGUCUGAUUAAUUUCGGACGCCUUUUGGAAAAGUUGCUUAAACCUUACCAUUUAGAGGAAGGUGANGUCGUAACA
rnacentral:rRNA from 1 species